CGGUUAGUCCUGGCUACGAGGACGAACGGCUGGCGGCGUUGCUUAACACAUGCAAGUCGAACGGGCGUUCUGGGGUUCUGGCGUUUUUGGUUGGGGUUCUGGGGGUUAGUGGCGAACGGGUGAGUAACACGUGAGUAACCUGCCCUUCACUUCUGGAUAACCGCUUGAAAGGGUGGCGUAAUACGGGGAUGUUUCUGGGGUCUGUCGCAUGGCGGGUUCGGGAAAGAUGGCACUGUUUGGUGUUUUUUGGUGGGGGAUGGGCUCGCGGCCUAUCAGCUUGUUGGUGGGGUGAUGGCCUGCCAAGGCUUUGACGGGUAGCCGGCCUGAGAGGGUGGGCGGUCACACUGGGACUGAGAUACGGCCCAGACUCCUACGGGAGGCAGCAGUGGGGAAUAUUGCACAAUGGGCGGAAGCCUGAUGCAGCGACGUCGCGUGAGGGAUGGAGGCCUUCGGGUUGUGAACCUCUUUCGCCAGUGAGGAAGGCCUUGCCCGUGUGGUGGGGUUGACGGUAGCUGGGUUAAUUGAAGCGCCGGCUAACUACGUG
rnacentral:rRNA from 1 species